CACCGAGUCGCCGCGCUCUGCGCCACCGACACAGUCGCCGUCUGAGCCCGAGCGACAGCGCAGGAGUGUGGCUGUGCACCGACAAUCAGUCUGACACCCUCCCCAUCAUGUGCUGGCACACACCCUUUACGUACCUGGAAGAAAUUAAAAGUGGAGAGAAAUCAAAUCAAAGGGAGAUUUAUUAACUUCAGCUUCCCCAUGAGAAAAGAGGCCAAGCCUCAUUUAAAGUGCGGCGCCUGGGCCGUGUCGCUCGGUUCAGAAAUGUGAGGCUUUAACCUGGUGGUUUUUCUUCUUGGAACGAGGCCGCUGCUAAUGAGCCCGCUCGG